ensembl:lncRNA TEX56P testis expressed 56, pseudogene
GGGCCGCGGGGUCGCCGCCGGCCGCCCAGGCGCGGAGCCUCUCGGGGGUCACCCGGCCGCCGGGCCCGCGGGACGCACGGGGCCGCCAGGGGAGGACAACAAGCCUCAGGCCCUGUCCCUGCGCCCCGCCCGGCCUCCCCCGCGGGGCUGCGCAGCCCACUCGGCCAUCCUGGCCUGAAGGGGCCGCCCCCGGCCUCGCGGGAAAGCCUGAGCCUCCCGGGCCUUCUCGGGCCUUCUCGGACUUUCCCCCAGGCGUCCUGGACCUUCUUCGGCCUUCCUGGGCCUCCUCGGGCUUCCUUGACCCUCCCCAGGCCUUCCCCGAGGCCUCCAGGCCCUUCCCUGGGCCUCUCCAGGCUGAGCUCUCCGCGACAUGGCCAGUGGGCCUCUGGGACCCGGGGCCCGGCCCACCCGCCUCCACCCUCCAUUCCCACCGCCUGCUCACAUCAAGCCAGGAGCACCGCCCGGUGAGAAUCCUGAACUCUCUGGCUUAGAAAGAAUCUUAGCAAGACAUCAGUUGCCAAAAGAGAUUAAUCUGACCCCAAAGCCGAACAGAAUGCCCCCGUGGAAAAGAAAAAUCAUCAACAAUGUAACUGACGGGUGGAAGAAAUGUCACUUGUUGAAGAGAAACACGAAAGAGCCUCCAAUGUCCACCAUAGUUGUCAGAAAACUUAUUCAAAAAAAUGUACCCAGAAGACACAGCCUAAGGAAUACAAGCAGGAAACUGAGAAACCUGCCAACAACAGCUAAAGGGACACAAACAGAAUAACAUGAAAGCUGUAUACCUAUUGUGGAAUUUGAUUAGAAUCCGGAACAGUCAGAGUUGGAACAAUGUUCACAACAAAAUGCAAGUUAAUAAUGAAGGAAAAAUAAAAUCAGUCAAAUCAGCCUAAUGCUUUGGGAAAAAUCUAAAUUCAGUUAAUUCUACCACAAACAACAUGUAACCUGCUUAUGACUGGCAACGCUGAAGGAGGAUUCAAAGGCUCUCAUCUCGCGCUGCUUGCCUGACCUCUUGCUUUCUAGGAGCUGACUUACCCUGUCAGAUGCAUACACGGCAUCGAAUAGCCCAAGGAGGGUGACGGAGAUGCCCACAGCUGGACCAUUGACCACUGCAAUCAGAGGCUUAGGAAAAUCUAUAAAACAGCCCACAAAUUCCCUACAGAAAUGGAAACACAAAAUCAUUAAAUGUGCCAAAGCAGCAUGACUAAAGCAUGGGCAAGACAGUCUGACUCUGAGAUAAAGCCUUCUGUCAGGCUGGGUGUUUCCACAGCCACCACCAGCAGUGCCUCCUUGUCCUGCCACUUCCCUGGUCUUCCGCACCAGAUUCAUCCAGGGCAUCCGUCUGAAUGGCAGUGGAUGGAAGACCAACCAGUGAGACCUAUGGGUCAACCCUGGUUUGAAUCUUGUAUUCUGGACAGUGAGUUCAGGGCUGUAAACCAGCCGCAGUCUUAGAGAUUAGGUUGGGUGACUGAGCACAUGCUGCAAUAUCACAACAAGUGGGAAUUACAGAUUUGGCAGGAAUAAAGAGAAAAGCCUUCAUGACCUCCUCCUGUGUUUACAAGACUCCUCCGAGUCUCCUACCUUCAGCGUUCAUGGAAAUCUCCCAUUCCUCUGGCUGGAUGAGAAUUUGCUAAAUUCCUCUGCCUCAGUGCAAGAUAAUUUUGUUUACAACUAUAGCUCACUUUUAUGUUUUCCAGUCAAAUCUCAUGAGACCAGCAGGAUGAACAGGUAACAGAGGUCAAAGAGAAAGAAUGAAUGCCCACCUAUGGAUGGAGGCAGUUUAGAGAAAUAUGCUUGUCCAAAGUCACAAUUAACUGCACUGACACAGAGAAGCAGAUAUUGCACUUUUGCUCAACUAAAUACCACUUUGAUGACUAAGAACGGGCCCUCUGGGAUCAGACAAAGGAAAAUCACAGUGCCUUCUGGGUAUAUCAGAACCUACCUGAAAUUCACAAACUCUAAACAAUGAAUGCUCAACUCUGUUGUAUGAAGUAGCCACAAUUACCAACCUUCCUGCACAAAUCAAACAAGAGAUAUCUUAAAAUAGGAAUGAUGCUGAAACUCUACAGCUUUUGUGUGAAACACAUAGAAGAAGAAAGUAAAACAGGACAAACUCCGUGGGCAGGCUCCACCUGACUAGAGGAUUCCAAUGAAGGACUCAAACUGGACACCAAAUCCACAUAGUUCUGCCUGGCAGCUUCCUGAACGGACGAUGACAAACAACCUCAGCCCAUGGUCAAUGAAUAAGCACUUUGAGAAAGUUACUAUACUAAUAACUAACACCUUGCAAUGAAGAAAGAAUAGAAGCACAUCAAGAUCUUGAAGACUCCAUUUACAAUGGCUUAAUGAGAAGCACAAACUUCUUUAGAAGUACAGCAAAUAAAAGCACAGUAACUAGUAAACUCA